UGGGGAAUAUUGCACAAUGGGCGCAAGCCUGAUGCAGCCAUGCCGCGUGUGUGAAGAAGGCCUUCGGGUUGUAAAGCACUUUCAGCGAGGAGGAAGGUGGUGAGCUUAAUACGCUCAUCAAUUGACGUUACUCGCAGAAGAAGCACCGGCUAACUCCGUGCCAGCAGCCGCGGUAAUACGGAGGGUGCAAGCGUUAAUCGGAAUUACUGGGCGUAAAGCGCACGCAGGCGGUUUGUUAAGUCAGAUGUGAAAUCCCCGGGCUCAACCUGGGAACUGCAUUUGAAACUGGCAAGCUAGAGUCUCGUAGAGGGGGGUAGAAUUCCAGGUGUAGCGGUGAAAUGCGUAGAGAUCUGGAGGAAUACCGGUGGCGAAGGCGGCCCCCUGGANGAAGACUGACGCUCAGGUGCGAAAGCGUGGGGAGCAAACAGAUUAGAUACCCUGGUAGUCCACGCUGUAAACGAUGUCGAUUUUGGAGGUUGUGCCCUUGAGGCGUGGNUUCCGGAGCUAACG
rnacentral:rRNA from 1 species